UUGGAGGGCAAGUCUGGUGCCAGCGGCCGCGGUAAUUCCAGCUCCAAUAGCGUAUACUAAAGUUGUUGCAGUUAAAAAGCUCGUAGUUGAAUUUCGGGGUUUAUCCGUUGGUCGGGCUUUUGGGUCUGUACUGGCGUGAUGGAUUCCUACCUUCUGAAUAACCAGCAUGUCAUUAAUUUGGUGCGUUGGGGAAGCAGGACUGUUACCUUGAAAAAAUUAGAGUGCUUAAAGCAGGCUAUUGCCUGAAUACAUUAGCAUGGAAUAAUGAAAUAGGACGCAUGGUUCUAUUUUGUUGGUUUCUAGGAUCACCGUAAUGAUUAAUAGGGAUAGUUGGGGGCAUUAGUAUUCAAUUGUCAGAGGUGAAAUUCUUGGAUUUAUUGAAGACUAACUUCUGCGAAAGCAUUUGCCAAGGAUGUUUUCAUUAAUCAAGAACGAAAGUUAGGGGAUCGAAGACGAUCAGAUACCGUCGUAGUCUUAACCAUAAACUAUGCCGACUAGGGAUCGGACGAUGUUAAUUUUUUAAUGACUCGUUCGGCGCCUUACGGGAAAC
rnacentral:rRNA from 1 species